CUGGACCCAUAUUUACUAAAGUUCGUAGACGUAGACGUAAACGUAGGAUUUACGUCUGACUUAAGAUUAGAGUUACGUACUCGUGAAAUGGUAUUUACAAAACCGUUCGUAGCCGCAAACGUAACUUACGAUGUACGAUUGCACUUACGCGUGCGCAAUGGCUAUUUUCACUUCGAAGCGUAAAAAGUGUGAAUUUGCUCAUUUACUUUGACUUCCCUGCGCUACCGCCGCAUUAUGACGGAAAAGAACACAGAACUUUGUGAGAAAGCAACGAAUUUCAACGUAUACGUAUGCCUGCCAACGGCAUGUCGAUCAACUGUACCGUUAUUCAGUGUUGUUUACAAAUCCAAAUGGAAGGUUCAUCAAAUUUAACGCAUUUGACUUGUGCAUGGAUCUGCGAUGCUGUAGGUGUUCAAAAAGAAGUCGGCAUGGACUGACAAGGACAUAAAGGUGGUCAAGAAAUAAAUUGCCAACAGACAGCAGCAUUCCUUGAUUUAGAUGCAUUUCUCUUCAUGUCCUCUCCUGAAAGAUUUUCCAUGAUGCCUCAGGGUUAGGAUUGGGAUGCAAGAUGUACAGUACAUAUAUAUGAUGUCUAUGGGUACAUUGCUGUAAUGGCCUGAAAAAUCUUUUGCGAAACCGAGAAAUGUUCAUCUUCCAUUGCCUUGAUUGUGUAAAAGGACGAGCAGAGGAAUGAUUCAAAAAUAUAUGGCAGGAUUGAGAAUCUAACCCAUGACCCGUAGUCUGGUACUCUACCCACUGAUCAAUCCAUGCUGAUGGUCCAUCUGCUACAUUUAUGUCAUCUUAUAUAUUUAUUUAUUCAUUUAUAUCAUAUGGACAUUUAAAAAUUGACAGUAAAAUAAAAAAAAGUUUGAUAUUCAGCAAAAUAGAAUUUGUUACAAUACAUGUUUAAGAAAUUAAGUACAUGUAUAUGCAUUGUUAUGCAUACAAUUAUGUACAUGUAAUUAUAUUUGUUAAUAGAUAACUUUUUAGAUGAAUUUUCAUGUUGUUAUUGAUAUUGACAUGUACAUGUAUUACUUCCAUUUCUAGAAUGAUUUUAACAUCUUGAUAUUAAAAAGAUGACAUAAUAAAUAAAUCUUAAAUAUUUGUCAACAAA